AUAGGUUCGCCAUCACAACUGUAGAGGGCUUGGACUUCUCGCUUACUCCAGAGACUAAGACCAGAACUCAUGGUGGUGAAACCUCAAGGAUGGAGAUACGGGUGAGACAUGAAGAAGAACAAUAAGAACUGUCAACCAACUUACCACAUGGAAUGGUUUCUUCAUCUUCACAAAGGUUUUUAAACACAGCUUGGAUAGACCUCUACUGGGGAUAGUGCAGUGAAUCUGGCAGUGAGCAGGGUGUUGGACUUGGUGAUCCCUUGGGUCCUUUUGAUUCUAUGAUUCUGUGAUCGAUGCUAUGAUCCUAUGAUUGAUUCUAUGGUUGAGUCAAUGAUCCUAUGGUUAAGUCUAUGAUCCUACGGUUGAGUCUAUGAUUCUAUGGUUGAGUCUAUGACCCUAUGACUGAUUCUAUGCUGCUGUGAUUCCUUCUGUGAUUUAUUCUAUGAUUCUGUUAUUCAUUAUAUGGUUCCAUUAUUCCUUCUAGAUUCUACAGUCUUACUAGGAGCUUAAGGAAAGAUUUUUUUUUUCCAGCCAAGAAAGGCUUAUUUGUUCCAAGAUGUGGCAGCCUUUAACUCCAAUGAAUGUCCUUCAUUUCCUGGAACAGUUCCACCAGAGGUCAGACCUGCAGGCAAGAAAUGAAGGACUAAAGACCCCUCUAUGAAAAUGACGGACGGCUGCGGUGGCAUGAAAAGAGGGCUGUUUGAUCAUUCCUCUGCAGACCAGGAGAGACCUUUAGAUUACCCACAAGUGAUCUUUCAAGUCAAUAGACUUUUCGUCAUCAUCUUCUCAGCCCGAGAACUAGAGAUUUUUUCCCCUCACUGUAAAUUUCAGUGGGUCCUCUCUAACGAACUCUCCAUCGUCAACAUUUGGGGAUCCAUCAUCAAAUGCUGUUUAUCUAUCACUUCUAAACCGAUUCUUUGUAUCGAUUCUUGAAUUGAUUUUAAAAUUUCAUCUCCUUUUUUGUUUUUCCUUCUCCUCCCAAACACACAUGGAUUUAUAAAAUCUUAAAUAAAACAAUUAAUUUUCUGGAUGUAGCUGGACCAAUAAGGACACCUCAGAAAGUAUUCUGUGCAGACAAUAAGAAUCUUCUCCUGAA